AUAUUUUUCCCCUGGAAUUAUCUUUAAUUACGACAUGUCUAUUUUCAAUUUUUUUAUUCUUUUUUUUUUUUAGUGGGCAAAAMAAAUCCAAAACAAAAUGGAAAAGCACUAGGAACUCUCACCCAAAUUUUACCAAAGCAGCUUCUUUGGGUUUGUUUUUGAGAGCUUUUCAGUUUGCUUUUUUGUUCUUUUUCGUAUAGGCGAACAUGUGUAGGAAAGGGGGUUCUAUUGGAAAUGCUUAAGGCGUUCUCGGGUACGUUUCUUGAAGAGUUGGGCCUAGCAAUAUGGCAGCGCACAUUCGAUAAGAAAUCUUGUAAAGUGCUGCUACUGAGUUCAAUCCUGAAGAAGUGCACAGAACACGUUUGUGUGCAUGAUAUGGCUCUGUUCUGCGUCCAGGACCACAUGCUCUCCCACCCGUUUCCUUGGCCACCGCACACACUUUGCAGGGCCAGAAGUCUUUGAAUUCCGGGUGCUCCUGAAUUGUGUUUAGGCUCCUGCAUUAGUUGGCCUGAUUUUUUCAAAGAUGCUGAACCCCUGAAACUCCUCCUCUUGGUAUGAUUUGGAUGGAAAUUUUGGGUGCUGAAAACUUUGGAAAAGCUGGAUACUUUUAAGGUAGGUAUCUAAGUAAAAGCAUAGGAAUCUAAAUUUAGACAAUCAAUUUAGAUAAUCUUUGGAAAGAUGA
rnacentral:lncRNA from 1 species